rnacentral:rRNA from 1 species
AACUUUCAACAACGGAUCUCUUGGUUCCGGUAUCGAUGAAGAACGCAGCGAAAUGCGAUAAAUAAUGUGAAUUGCAGAAUUCAGUGAAUCAUCGAGUCUUUGAACGCACAUUGCGCCCCCUGGUAUUCCGGGGGGCAUGCCUGUCCGAGCGUCAUUGCUGCCCUCAAGCCCGGCUUGUGUGUUGGGUCCUAGUCCUUAGGGACAGG